ACCUCAAGUCAAGUGAGAAUACCCGCUGAACUUAAGCAUAUCAAUAAGCGGAGGAAAAGAAACUAACAAGGAUUCCCUCAGUAACGGCGAGUGAACCCGGGAAAAGCUCAAAUUUUAAAAUCGCUUGGGUUUACCUGAGUGAGUUGUAAUUUGAAGAGAGUGUUUCGACUUUUCGGGUUUGAUCCAAAUCCUUUGGGAUGAGGUAUCAUAGAGGGUGAGAAUCCCGUUCAUGAUUGAACCUGAGUUGUCAAUGAUUCAUUUUCUAAGAGUCGAGUUGUUUGGGAUUGCAGCUCAAAAUGGGUGGUAAAUUUCACCUAAGGCUAAAUAUCUGCGAGAGACCGAUAGCGAACAAGUACCGUGAGGGAAAGAUGAAAAGAACUUUGAAAAGAGAGUUAAAAAGUACGUGAAAUUGUUGAAAGGGAAACGAUUGAAGUCAGUCAUGCUAGCGAGGAAUCAACUUGGUGGUGUGAGUCUCUCAUCUCCUCCGUGUGCACUUCCUCGUCUGGCAGGUUAGCAUCAAUUUUGAUUGUCAUCAAAUAAUUGGGGUAAUGUGGCUUCGCUUCGGUGGAGUGUUAUAGACCCUGGUGGAUGUGGCGAUUGGGAUUGAGGAUUGCAGCGGAUGCCUCUCGGCUAGUCAUCCGAUUCCUGGCUGUCACCUCGCUUUCGACAGCUUGCUGACGAUUGUGGGACUCGGCGGUCUAGGUGUCGGUCUGAUCUUAAAUUCGCUAAGGAUGCUGACGUAAUGGCUUUAAACGACCCGUCUUGAAACACGGACCAAGGAGUCUAACAUGUGUGCGAGUGUUUGGGUGUGAAAACCCGGAUCGCGUAAUGAAAGUGAUACUGGUGGGAUCCCUUCACGGGUGCACCAUCGACCGAUCAGGAUAUUCUUUGAUAGAUUUGAGUGUGAGCACAUAUGCUGGGACCCGAAAGAUGGUGAACUAUGCCUGAAUAGGGUGAAGCCAGAGGAAACUCUGGU
rnacentral:rRNA from 1 species